UUUAAAACAUGGAUUAUUUUACAUCGGACUGCUACAUUUUUAUUUUGAACGAGUUGUGGGAUGUAAAUGAAGAAAAAACAAGGUAUGGACAACGAGUAUCAGACGCAAUCUGCAGAAGGAAUUUUGGGAUUACAAAUUAUCCAGCCACGAUCAGAUCACGUCACACUUCAGAUGCGGUGCACCAAGGGUCCAGCUGAUUACUGGAAGUUUGCAGGAUUGCCCUUUAUUUGCUGCGUCUGUCACAUCUGGUACACUUUUGUUGUAUGUUUUCAUUUUUAUUAAGAGCUCUUUGAGAAGAAUUGGUUUAUAAUGUUCAUUUACAUCUGAAUACUAAAAAUUUAAAUUAUUUAAUGUUUAGAAUCAAUAGUGGUGUGAAAUAUUGUAGUUGUAUCAGUUUUGUGUUCAGUAUGUUUAGAAUAUUUCACCUUAAUCCUAAAGUUUGAGAAUUUGAUAUACCACUUUAACUUAGGUGUCACGGAGGCUCCCAAGCUAGAAACUAUCCCCUCGCUUCAUUAGGCCCUUCAAGAUCCUUCGGCAGAUCACUCCGGUCUCGUUUCGUCUGGCUCUCCCAGCACAUUAUAAAAUCUCACCCAGAUCGUCCUGCUCCAAGACCCUGUUGUAGACCCCGUCGUCGUCCAGGUUCUCGCUUCCGGAGCCGCUCGCAGGGAGGGGGCUCUGUCACGGAGCACGGACCUGUCACUGAGCGCGCGCCUUCACCUCUCUCCGGUCUCACACGCUCCUUGUCACCUGAAUUCUAGAACUGCAAUUCCCAUCAUUCCCCUCUGCUAUCAUUAGUUCCCAGCCCUGUCUG